rnacentral:rRNA from 1 species
GAUGAACGCUGGCGGCGUGCCUAAUACAUGCAAGUCGAGCGAACAGACGAGGAGCUUGCUCCUCUGACGUUAGCGGCGGACGGGUGAGUAACACGUGGAUAACCUACCUAUAAGACUGGGAUAACUUCGGGAAACCGUAGCUAAUACCGGAUAAUAUAUUGAACCGCAUGGUUCAAUAGUGAAAGACGGUUUUGCUGUCCCUUAUAGAUGGAUCCGCGCCGCAUUAGCUAGUUGGUAAGGUAACGGCUUACCAAGGCAACGAUGCGUAGCCGACCUGAGAGGGUGAUCGGCCACACUGGAACUGAGACACGGUCCAGACUCCUACGGGAGGCAGCAGUAGGGAAUCUUCCGCAAUGGGCGAAAGCCUGACGGAGCAACGCCGCGUGAGUGAUGAAGGUCUUCGGAUCGUAAAACUCUGUUAUUAGGGAAGAACAAAUGUGUAAGUAACUAUGCACGUCUUGACGGUACCUAAUCAGAAAGCCACGGCUAACUACGUG